CGCCUCCUGCCACAACAUAGGAGGUCCAGCCUGCCCAGUGACAAGUUAAACGGCCGCGGUACCCUAACCGUGCGAAGGUAGCACAAUCACUUGUUCUUUAAAUGAGGACUAGUAUGAACGGCAUCACGAAGAUCACGCUGUCUCCCCCUUUUAAUCAGUGAAACUGAUCUCCUCGUGAAGAAGCGAGGAUAUUUCUAUAAGACGAGAAGACCCCAUGGAGCUUUAAACUCAGUAACACUUGCCUCUACACAUAUCAACUCAAUUAAGCAAUCAUGUAUACUAGUUUUAGGUUGGGGUGACCGCGGAGUAAAACAAAACCUCCACAAUAAACGGAACUAACUUCCUAAUCAAAGACCCACAACUCAAAGAAUCAAUAAAUUGACAUAAAUUGACCCAAUUAAUUUUGAUCAACGAACCUAGUUACCCUGGGGAUAACAGCGCAAUCCAUUUCAAGAGCUCCUAUCGACAAAUGGGUUUACGACCUCGAUGUUGGAUCAGGGUAUCCAAGUGGUGCAGCCGCUACUAAAGGUUCGUUUGUUCAACGAUUAAAACCCU
rnacentral:rRNA from 1 species